rnacentral:rRNA from 1 species
UUUAUGGAGAGUUUGAUCCUGGCUCAGGAUGAACGCUGGCGGCGUGCCUAAUACAUGCAAGUCGAGCGAACGGACGAGAAGCUUGCUUUUCUGAUGUUAGCGGCAGACGGGUGAGUAACACGUGGAUAACCUACCUAUAAGACUGGGAUAACUUCGGGAAACCGGAGCUAAUACCGGAUAAUAUUUUGAACCGCAUGGUUCAAAAGUGAAAGACGGUCUUGCUGUCACUUAUAGAUGGAUCCGCGCUGCAUUAGCUAGUUGGUAAGGUAACGGCUUACCAAGGCAACGAUGCAUAGCCGACCUGAGAGGGUGAUCGGCCACACUGGAACUGAGACACGGUCCAGACUCCUACGGGAGGCAGCAGUAGGGAAUCUUCCGCAAUGGGCGAAAGCCUGACGGAGCAACGCCGCGUGAGUGAUGAAGGUCUUCGGAUCGUAAAACUCUGUUAUUAGGGAAGAACAUAUGUGUAAGUAACUGUGCACAUCUUGACGGUACCUAAUCAGAAAGCCACGGCUAACUACGUGCCAGCAGCCGCGGUAAUACGUAGGUGGCAAGCGUUAUCCGGAAUUAUUGGGCGUAAAGCGCGCGUAGGCGGUUUUUUAAGUCUGAUGUGAAAGCCCACGGCUCAACCGUGGAGGGUCAUUGGAAACUGGAAAACUUGAGUGCAGAAGAGGAAAGUGGAAUUCCAUGUGUAGCGGUGAAAUGCGCAGAGAUAUGGAGGAACACCAGUGGCGAAGGCGACUUUCUGGUCUGUAACUGACGCUGAUGUGCGAAAGCGUGGGGAUCAAACAGGAUUAGAUACCCUGGUAGUCCACGCCGUAAACGAUGAGUGCUAAGUGUUAGGGGGUUUCCGCCCCUUAGUGCUGCAGCUAACGCAUUAAGCACUCCGCCUGGGGAGUACGACCGCAAGGUUGAAACUCAAAGGAAUUGACGGGGACCCGCACAAGCGGUGGAGCAUGUGGUUUAAUUCGAAGCAACGCGAAGAACCUUACCAAAUCUUGACAUCCUUUGACAACUCUAGAGAUAGAGCCUUCCCCUUCGGGGGACAAAGUGACAGGUGGUGCAUGGUUGUCGUCAGCUCGUGUCGUGAGAUGUUGGGUUAAGUCCCGCAACGAGCGCAACCCUUAAGCUUAGUUGCCAUCAUUAAGUUGGGCACUCUAAGUUGACUGCCGGUGACAAACCGGAGGAAGGUGGGGAUGACGUCAAAUCAUCAUGCCCCUUAUGAUUUGGGCUACACACGUGCUACAAUGGACAAUACAAAGGGCAGCGAAACCGCGAGGUCAAGCAAAUCCCAUAAAGUUGUUCUCAGUUCGGAUUGUAGUCUGCAACUCGACUACAUGAAGCUGGAAUCGCUAGUAAUCGUAGAUCAGCAUGCUACGGUGAAUACGUUCCCGGGUCUUGUACACACCGCCCGUCACACCACGAGAGUUUGUAACACCCGAAGCCGGUGGAGUAACCUUUUAGGAGCUAGCCGUCGAAGGUGGGACAAAUGAUUGGGGUGAAGUCGUAACAAGGUAGCCGUAUCGGAAGGUGCGGCUGGAUCACCUCCUUU